AAAGAUACGAUAUACGAUAGAAAUAGAGGGGGGCAAUGAGGCCUGGGACACGGAGAGAGAAACAGAGAAGAGAAAGAGGCAGAACGGUAAAGAGUACAUCGAUUGGGCAUAAGAAAUCAAAACAGGAUUACUGUCAGUUUUUCCACCGCCAUCCGUUCCCUCGCCAGACUCAGAACAUCGAAACCGCAGGCACACACAGGAGUUUAUAUUGGGGGAGAGAAAUCUAAGUGCCAUUAACUCCGUCGAUCAGAUCGCCGAAACUGCCACCGGUACUAGAAACAGCGUUAAUUGUGUUGAUGGCUCUAUAGUUAAAGACAUCGAAUGCUCUAAUUUAGCUGGUGUUACUCUUGAAAGGUCUUUUGAUGGUUCACAAGAUAAUGAAUCUUCUAAGUGCUUCAAAUGUCCUUUAGAGAAGGCAAUUCUUUCAUUCCUUUGGCUUAGAGCGUCUAUAAAGAAGUGCAUUGUUGUGGUUUCUAGCAACUCAAGGGAUGAUGAAGUCUUUGAUGUAUACUGUGUUGCUUUUGAAAUGGUGUGCUUAAUGGCGCUAUACAUGCCUCUUACAUGGAGUUUAAUGUACAAUCUCUGUUAGAGUCUAAAGUUGCACCACUACUAUGUUCCCAUUGUUGUAUUUAGUUAUAAAAUAUUCAUUGACGUACUUUUAAUUAAUAAGCAGUUGUUAGCAAAUAUUAAGGUAGUUAGCAUUGUACUAGGAUUACUGUAUGUGAAGUCUUAGGUUGUCUUAAGAUGAUUCGCAGGUCACAUUCUAAUUAAAUGAAAUCAUACUGAGUUCAAGCCUGAGGCUGAGCUGAUAUUGUAUGAAA